GACGAACGCUGGCGGCGUGCUUAACACAUGCAAGUCGAACGGAAAGGCCCUGCUUUUGUGGGGUGCUCGAGUGGCGAACGGGUGAGUAACACGUGAGUAACCUGCCCUUGACUUUGGGAUAACUUCAGGAAACUGGGGCUAAUACCGGAUAGGAGCUCCUGCUGCAUGGUGGGGGUUGGAAAGUUUCGGCGGUUGGGGAUGGACUCGCGGCUUAUCAGCUUGUUGGUGGGGUAGUGGAUUACCAAGGCUUUGACGGGUAGCCGUCCUGAGCGGGUGACCGGCCACAUUGGGACUGAGAUGCGACACAGCCUCCUACGGGAGGCAGCAGUGGGGAAUAUUGCACAAUGGGCGGAAGCCUGAUGCAGCAACGCCGCGUGCGGGAUGACAGCCUUCGGGUUGUAAAGCGCUUUCGCCUGUGACGAGGAGUGAGUGACGGUAAUGGGUAAAGAAGCACCGGCUAACUACGUG
rnacentral:rRNA from 1 species